CCUUUAGCAACAUAAGUAUUAAAGGUCCUGCCUGCCCAGUGAAAAAUUUUUAACGGCCGCGGUAUUCUAACCGUGCAAAGGUAGCGUAAUCACUUGUCUUUUAAAUAAAGACCAGUAUGAAUGGCUAAAUGAGGACAAAUCUGUCUCCUGCAGUUAAUCAGUGAAACUGAUCUCCCAGUCCAAAAGCUGGAAUAUUAACAUUAGACGAGAAGACCCUGUGGAGCUUAAAACAAAUUCAGUAACAAAAAUUCACUAGAAUGAGUUUUAAGUUGGGGCGACUUCGGAACAAAACAAAACUUCCGAGCACAGAACCACUAAUUCUUACCAAGGCAAACAAGCCAAAGAAAACCAACCGACCCAGUCACACUGAUCAACGAACCAAGUUACCCCAGGGAUAACAGCGCCAUCCUCUUCAAGAGUCCAUAUCGACAAGAGGGUUUACGACCUCGAUGUUGGAUCAGGGCACCCCAAUGGUGCAACCGCUAUUAAAGGUUCGUUUGUUCAACGAUUAACAGCC
rnacentral:rRNA from 1 species